UUGUGUGUGGUGAUCAGGCAGUGCACAGUUAGUUAGCUGUUCUUCAUGCACCAGCAACUGACUGCACUGCCACAUCAACACAUUACUG
rnacentral:pre_miRNA from 1 species